UUCUCUGGUUGAUCCUGCCGGAGGCCACUGCUAUCGGAGUUCGAUUAAGCCAUGCGAGUCGAGAGGUGCAAGACCUCGGCAUACUGCUCAGUAACACGUGGACAACCUAACCUAUGGAGGGGGAUAACCCCGGGAAACUGGGGAUAAUACCCCAUAGACUAUGGAUGCUGGAAUGCUCUGUAGCCAAAAGGUCAGCCGCCAUAGGAUGGGUCUGCGGCCGAUUAGGUAGUUGUUGGGGUAACGGCCCAACAAGCCUGUAAUCGGUACGGGUUGUGGGAGCAAGAGCCCGGAGAUGGAUUCUGAGACACGAAUCCAGGCCCUACGGGGCGCAGCAGGCGCGAAAACUUUACAAUGCGGGAAACCGUGAUAAGGGAACUCCGAGUGCCCGUUAAAUCGGGCUGUCCAUCAGUUUAAAAAACUGGUGAAGAAAGGGCCGGGCAAGACCGGUGCCAGCCGCCGCGGUAAUACCGGCGGCUCGAGUGGUGGCCACUAUUACUGGGCUUAAAGCGUUCGUAGCUGGUUUGUUAAGUCUCUGGGGAAAUCUUCCGGCUUAACCGGAAGGCGUCUCAGGGAUACUGGCAGACUAGGGACCGGAAGAGGUGAGGGGUACUCCAGGGGUAGGAGUGAAAUCCUGUAAUCCUUGGGGGACCACCUGUGGCGAAGGCGCCUCACCAGGACGGCUCCGACAGUGAGGGACGAAAGCUGGGGGAGCAAACCGGAUUAGAUACCCGGGUAGUCCCAGCCGUAAACGAUGUGCGUUAGGUGUAUCGGUGACCACGAGUCACCGAGGUGCCGAAGAGAAAUCGUGAAACGUACCGCCUGGGAAGUACGGUCGCAAGGCUGAAACUUAAAGGAAUUGGCGGGGGAGCAC
rnacentral:rRNA from 1 species